AUGCCUGACCCCCCGAAGUUCUUGCUCCUGUUGCCACAGGGAGCCGGGAGAGCACAGAGCGCUGCUCCCGGUGCCCUGCAGCCACACAAACAUGCUCCUGCUCCUGGCGGAGGCAGAGCUGCUGGGAAAGACAUUUCGGAAGUUUCCUGUGGCUGCAACAAGUUGUUCAAAUCUGCACUGGAGCACCGCUGUGACCUGUCUUUCUCCAUCUUAGGGCAACCAGCUCCUGAAACUGGAAACUCCCCAGCACCUCCUCACCCUACCCCUCAGGCUCUCCUUGUGGGGGUGGGGCAGGGGGAGUUGUCUGGAAUGCCUGGCCUCUCUGUCCAAGCAUGGCAGCCUUGCCCCAUGGGUGGCGCAGACUCAGUUUCCCAUGCACCUUGCCCCAGGGAGGAGGUAGGGGUUCCUUCCAUAGAGACGGUGAAGAAUAAGGGAGGUAGUGAUCAUCUCUGGGAUCCAGUUAGAUCUGCGUUUGCAGGCAGAAAGAGGCUGGGGCACAUGGAGAGAGUGAUCAACUGGAAGAUUCUAGGGUCCUCAGUUUUGAAAGGUGACAUGAUACCCUGGAAAGGGCAUGAACUUAGUUGUCAGUUCGUCCUUGCCUUUUCCAAUCAAUGCUGUGUGGCCACAGCAAAUUAAUGAACAUCUCUGAGUUUCGGUCUCCUGUCUAAAAUGAGGUGAUAAUAGCUUCUUGAAGGUUGUGAGGCCCUGAACAUGCUGCCUGGCACAUAGAUGGCUAAUCAAUAUUUUCCUACCCUUACUUUCCUUCCCUUCUCUGAAGUUGCUAC